rnacentral:misc_RNA from 1 species
AAAGUCGUAACAAGGUUUCCGUAGGUGAACCUGCGGAAGGAUCAUUACAAGGUUAUUAACAAGGUUGGAGCAUUACCUAUUCGGGUUGGCAAAGACCUUGAAAAAUACACCUAAUGUGAAUUUGUAUAACUCAAAUCUUAGACAUCUUAUUUUAUAUGCUCAUUGAGUAAUAAUAUAUAAUCUAAAACAACUUUUAACAACGGAUCUCUUGGCUCUC